rnacentral:rRNA from 1 species
CCUACGGGUGGCAGCAGUGAGGAAUAUUGGUCAAUGGACGAGAGGCUGAACCAGCCAAGGAGCGUGAAGGAUGACUGCCCUAUGGGUUGUAAACUUCGUUUAUAAAGGAAUAAAACGAGGCACGUGUGCCUUUUUGCAUGUACUUUAUGAAUAAGGAUCGGCUAACUCCGUGCCAGCAGCCGCGGUAAUACGGAGGAGCCGAGCGUUACCCGGAUUUAUUGGGUUUAAAGGGAGCGUAGAUGGGUUUUUAAGUCAGUUGUGAAAGUUUGCGGCUCAACCGUAAAAUUGCAAUUGAUACUGGCAGUCUUGAGUACAGUUGAGGUAGGCGGAAUUCGUGGUGUAGCGGUGAAAUGCUUAGAUAGCACGAAGAACCCCGAUUGCGAAGGCAGCUUACUAAACUGUGACUGACAUUGAUGCUCGAAAGUGUGGGUAUCAAACAGGAUUAGAUACCCCUGUAGUC